AGUGAACGCUGGCGGCAGGCCUAACACAUGCAAGUCGAACGGCAGCACGGCAGUAGCAAUACUGUGGGUGGCGAGUGGCGGACGGGUGAGGAAUACAUCGGGAUCUACCCGUGUUGUGGGGGAUAACGUAGGGAAACUUACGCUAAUACCGCAUAAAGAACUGAGGUUGAAAGCGGUCGGAACCGCAAGGCGUCGCGCGAUUGGAUGAACCGGAUGUCCGAUUAGCUAGUUGGCGGGGUAAAGGCCCGACCAAGGCGACGAUCGGUAGCUGGUCUCGAGAGGACGACCAGCCACGACCUGGAACU
rnacentral:rRNA from 1 species